CCUGCAGUGGUGUUUAGCUUAUCCUUAGUUGCAAUGUUAUCCUUAACCAACAUAGGUAUUCCAUGUAACCUUGAAAGAGAACCAGGUGCUUUUUCCCUUCUCUCUUGAUCAGCUUUAUCUGCUUCUGCUAAUGCAUCUGGAUUGACCUCCAAGACUCCUUUGAGAACUGGGUUUUGGAUAUUGAUUUGAUUGAGAUAGAACUCAACAAGCUGUCUUGAUGUUAAUUGGUUUGUUUGAAAAGCUAGUUGAAGAUCUUGUACUGUUGCUUCCUCAAUUGAGAAUUCAGUGGCCAUGGUAGUUGAUUGCGUAGCAGGGAAGGUAACUGGUUGAAAGAUUUUAGAAAGGAAUCGGAAGAAAUUAAGGGCAAACAUGUGCAGAAUCCCAUUAGUCAACUCAUGAUGAAAUCAACCCAGUUUCUAUUCUAUACUCCAAUUUUCUUAUUCUUGGUCUUAAUGAUGUAUUCCCUGAGGUUUCAAAUAUUAAAAAAAUAAAAAAAAUACAAGUUAGCGACAUUUUAUUAAAUUAUAUUAGAUUUUCUUUCAAUUUUUUAAGUCAAAUUAACCCACGGAAAUGUAACCGGAAAGAAUCGAACAUAAAAUCUUUAAAAGAAUACAUUUCAAGGUCUCAAGUCAAUAUCACCGGACCAAUCUAAAUGACUUUUUUUUAUUAAAUUAUUCUUACUGAUUAAUUAAUUUUUUUAAAAGGCUAAGAAUAUGAUGUAUUAAAACAACUCAAUCACACCAUAAGAAAUGCUAUUAUAUGUUUACUAUCUAUACCAUAAUUAUACAAUGACAACUCAAAAUUUAAGUACCAACUUAUUAACUAUGUAUGGUUGGACUUUUCUUUGGACAGAUUUACCUUUUAUAACUUAAUUCUAUUUGAAUUUCAAUAUACAUCAUAAUUAUGAGAAAUUUUAAAACUAAUUCUUUACUUUAGUUUAACAUUUUUUUCUGUUACAAAUUUUCUCUUAAUAUCAUAUAGUAUAUUUUUUCAAAUUCAAAUGUAAAUAAGUUUGGACAACAUAGAUAUAACAAAAUACCACCAAAUGUUUAUUCAUAAAAAAAAAAAAAUACAACCAAAUGUAUUAUUUUCUUAAAAAAAACACCAAAUGAAUUAUUUAAAAAAAUAUUGUACGUUAAAGUAUAAAUACAACGAAUUACAGCAACAAAAACGAAUACUACAUGUUAGAAUGCAUUGUCAGUGUAAUAUUAUGAGUAAAUUACACUCCACUCCCCUUAAAGAUGCUUGAAUUAUACUCCCUCCUCUCUUAUGUUAAAAUAUACACUCCCCUCCCCUCUUAUUUAAAACAUAUUAGAAAACUUUUCACUCCCCUCCCCUCCCCUAAGGCUCUGUUUGGAUAAGUGAAAAUCAACAGAACGGAAUGGAACGGAAUGGAAUGGAACAGAAUUGAAUGGAAUAAAGAUUUCAUUCCAUUGUUUGGAUACUUUAUGAUGGAACGAAACUAGUUUUCCAUUCCAUUGUUUGGAAAGUUAACGGAACGGAACGAGUUAUAACUUUUUUAUUCCAAUUUUACCCUUAUAUUUAAAAGAAGUUGAAUUCUCUACUCAAUCCAAUCAAUAUGUUGUUAUUUUAGCAUCAUUUGUGAGUAGCAGUAACACGUGCAAUUUCAUUAAAAAAUAUCAAUAGUUUUCACUGACGUGAAUCCUUUGUAUACAAAGCUACUCAAAAACAGUAACAACAUGAGCAAUAUCACACUGAUAUAUGUUGCAUGUCUGCUACAAGCUAAUUGAAAUCCACUACAAGCAAAAUUUUAUUGGUAAAGCUAGCACUAACCACCCAUAAUAGAGGGUUCAUAAAUUAGAAGAAAAGCAUCAAACAUGAAUAAGAUGGGAAAAAAAGAAGAAACGUCACAAUUAAUUUGGAAAAAGAUGAAGAAAUAUGGGUUCAUAAAUAACAAGAAAUAACAAUAGAAAUCUUGGUUCAAAUAUUAGUAGAAGCAUCAAAUAUGAAGAUGAAGAAAUAUGAGUUAGCUUAUUGGAGCACAUUGGAACAAGAAGAAAUGAAGGAAAAAAAGAGAGGUAAUGGUGCACGCUAAAAUUGGGAAUGAAAAAUAAGGAUCAAGUUGUAAUUUUAUUAUUAGAGUGUUCCAUUCCAUUAGAUACCUCCCAAUUUGGGGGGAAUGAAAAAAUGACUAAAUGAGUGGUAUUUGGAUGGAAUGGGUUCCAUCACACUCCAUUCCAUUCCAUUCAUUUUUUACAUAACCAAACAAUGGGAUGUGGAUAUAUCCCACUCCAUUCCAUUCCAUUCCAUCACUCUCCAUCAAUCCAAACAUAGCUUAAGAGAAGCUUGAAUUACUUCCCCCUCCCCUCUUAUGUUAAAAUCUACACUUUACUCGCUCAAUAUAUUUUUCUUUUAAUAUAAUAAAAAAUCGAAUACAUAUUUUUCAUUAUAUUUUAUUCACAAAUUCUUUAACAUGUAGUUUUAAACCCUAUUAUAAAAUAUGAAACAAUCUAAAAUAAAAUUAAAAUAUGUGAAAAACUACUAAAGACAAUAAAGCAUGGUUAUUUAAAAUUUAAUUUUAUACUCUAAAUUAUAAAAUCAAUAGCAAAAUAUUUGAAUUUAAUUACGAUUGACGUUUAAAUUAUAAAGAAAUGAAUUAAUUUUUUUUAAAUGGUGGUUCAAAAUUAAUAUAUUAUCAUAAAAAUAUUUAUUUAUGUUAAAAUAGAUUAAAGUGUAGUACAUAUUUAAUUAUUAAGGGAGGAGGUUGUAAUUCAAGCAUCUUAUAAGGGAAGAGAGUAUACAUUUUACUUUUCAAGGGAGGGGAGUGUAUAUUUUAACAUAAGAGAGAGGUGGAGGAGAAUGUAAUUCAAGCAUCUUUGAGGGGAGGGAAGUGUAAUUUACUCAAAUAUCAUUUUACACAUGAAUCCAAUGUGAAUGCUUAUUCCCUCUCUCUCUUUUAUCCAUCUGACACAAAAUUGCACUAAAGUCACCGACAAAGUCGUUAAAACUCAAUCUGCCAUGUAGAGGUAAGGUAACAGAUUCUCUAACAGUUUGAUUAAUUUUCCCCCUCAAAUUGGUUGAUAAGAAAUUUUGUUUCAAAGUAAAGUGAUGCAUUUGUUUCUAAUUGUAAAGGCUUGUAAAUGUCUACUUUGUUGAAUGAAUGAUGGUUUCUAAGUGACUAAGAUCAAUGCUUUGAUAAUUCAUAUUGGAUUAUAAAUUAUUGAUUCUCAAUUCAAUUCAAGACAGUGAUGGAGAUACAUAGCUUCUCGUUAAUAUUAUCUUAUAGUAGUUUUAAAGUUACAGAAAUCCCUUUUUAGAUUCAAUUUCUUUCAUGAUAUUUUGACAUGCUUAAGAUAAUGUGCAUAUGCAACCCUAUUUUUUAUGCUGAUAUAUUGUACAGAAAAGAUCACAUUUUCUAAAAAGAUUAAGCCACUGUUGAUGAGCUUAAGAUAAUGUGAAUCUGCUCAACCUGAAAUCGAUGAUUUGAUAAUGCAGAAUAAUGUAGUACGAACUGUUUUACUACAUCAAAUUUUUAGAUAUAACAAAUCUGUCAAUAUCUGUUGCAUUUUCUGUUAAAGCCAUCUUAUUUGGUGAACUUCUCAUCAUACAUGUAGAAUCCUAAUUGUCCCGUUGAUUUUCAGACCAAUCAAUAAUGUUAUAAUUUAGACUUUCUUACAAAACAUGUAAUGUAAGCUCUUAAACUCAAUUUUCUAGUGGACGAGAAGAAGCAGUCAUAUUCAUGGGAAUUGGAGGGGUGUUCGAUCAAACUUCUAACUUCCGAAGGGGAGGUGGCUUUCUGAUCAAAGUUGCUUGCUCAAAUGAAUAAGCAAUUUCAAUCAACUUUGGAUCUGAGCCUUUCAAACCUCCAAAGCAAAUUCCAAAUGGCUGAUCCUUUUCAUAUCCUGCUGGAACAAUCACUCCAGGAUAACCUCCAAUGGCAAGUAUGUUACUAAAGGAUGCCAAAGGUAUUACCACAGCAUCAAGUUUAUUUCUUUUCAUCAGUUUUUCAAACCCAUUCUGUGACGAUCUUGUCAUAUUUAAUAAUGCUUGUUUCUCUGCUUUCCCAAUUCCGUUUGUCUUUUCAGCUUGCACCAUGAGAUCUUGGCCAUACUCAAGUUUCUCCUACAAUGUUUAUACAACAAUUAAGAUGCUAUCGUGAUCAAUGUUCAUAGCUGGACUUUAUGUAACAAAUAGGCAUGGCACAAAUAGUAACAAUCAAAUGUUAUCAGUUGAUUCUUACAGUCGUGAAGCAAACUGGUCGUAAAAAAUAACAUAGUUCUAAUAUUCUAUAUACAUACUCACCGAUUUUGGGUGUUUCUUGUUGAAGGCUAUCACAUCUGCCAAGCUUUUCACUGGUGAAGCAACUAAUUCUUUCAGGUACUUAUUCAAGGAUAAUUUGAAUUCAAAAUUCAAGGCAAUUUGUUCACUUUGAUCAGUGAAAAUUUCAACAAUGUUAUCAAUCUUCAAAUUGUCAAUCAAAACUGCACCUCUUCGCCUGAUUUUGAAGAAAGUAUACACACACAGACACAUAUGUGACUUAUUAAAGCUUCACUAGAAAUAUUAGUACUUGAAAAAUAAUAGUUUUAGACUUACCUUAACGUGUUUAGGUGUAGCUUAAAAGUUUUAUCCAGUAAGGUGUCAUUUCCAAACUCGUAGUAUAAUCUUACCACUCCCAAUCUCUUUCCUCUCAAUCCAUCUUUCUUUAGAAAUUGAGCAUAGCCACCUUUUGGGAUAUACUUUGAUGCUUCAAUUGUUGCCUUAUCAAAAGGGUCAAUACCUGCUAUGGUUUCAAGAACAUAAGCAGCAUCUGAUACAGUCCUGCAAAUUGGCCUAUACAAAACCACACAAUCAAUGUUUAAACAUUUAAUAGCAAAAUGUCUUUGGAGAGGAAAAUUGAGUUUGAAAAUGCAAGAGCAUGUUGACAUAAAGAAAACAUAGGUAUUGCCAAUUUGCCACAUAUAUUUAGGCUUACCCAACUGUGUCUUGCCUUGGGCUAAUUGGAACUACACCUGCUCUACUAGUGAGACCUACUGUUGGUUUGAUGCCUACUACUGAGUUCAUACAUGAAGGGCAUAAAAUGGAGCCAUCAGUUUCAGUACCAAGUGACACAGCCACCAAAUUUGCUGCUACUGAUAUUGCUGGCCCACUACUUGAGCCACAAGGAUCAUCCAACGUGUAUGGAUUCUGCACAAAACAAUGCACAAGUGUGAACUCAUUUUCUAGAAUCAUUCAUACUUAAGUUCCUAUGAGAAGGCAUAAUGAAGUUAUUACUUUAGGCCUCCAAAAAUAUUCACUCACUUUUUUUAGUUGGAAGCCACGUAAGGUAGUGUUUGGCCCGGCUUAUUUCUGACUUUUCUACACAAUAAAAGGAGAAGUUGGGCCAAACACAUUUCUUGAGAAGCACUUAAUAUAUAAAGUUGCUUAUUUUUAUAGUGUAAAAUACACAAAUAAAGUAGUUUUGCUAAAGUUGUUGAAACUAACUUCUAAAAGUUCUCGGCAACUUUUUUCUAUGUAUUCCCCUUCGAAUCCUAUUGAGCACGUUUUAUUUUUCAUUUUAAUUGAUUUUUCAGACGGCAUGCAUGUGCUCUUCAAUUGCUAAUUGCUAUGUAUUAUUUUUUGUUUGUUUUGAAUUUUAAUUUUUUAUAUUGUUUAGUAAUAUAUAUAAGGAAUUUUUUCUUUCAUUUUUAAAUAUUUUAAUAGUUAUUAGAUCUUAACAAGGCAUUUUUAUCCAAAAAAGAAUCAUAAGUGAGGUAAUCGUUUAUGAAAUAUCUUCAAAAAUUACUUAAAAUCAUAAUGUAUGAAUUUUUAAUUUUUAUAUAUCUUAAUCACCCCUUUAUCUAUAAUAUUUUUAAAAAAAUUGUUUCAUUUUCCCCUAAAAAAAUGAUUGUUUCUUUUAAAUAUAUUUAUUUAUUUAAUAAUUUCUUUUGAAAUAUGAACUUUCUUAAAAAUAAAUCAUUUAAAUAAAAAUAUUAUCAAACACUUGAACAUAAAAUAUAUUUUGAAAUAAAAAGUAGCAUUUACCAAACAACUUUAACUUCAUUUCUAAAGCUCAUAUUUUUAACUUUAAGUUUAAAGUAGCUUCUAUGCCUCAAAAAAGUUGGGCCAAACACACCCUUAGGACCUUUGGCACCCCAUUUGCUACACAUAAUAUUUCCACUAGCUUCAGUCCAUUAGACUGAUAAUGAGACUAAUCUCUGCUUAGGUGUUUUCGGUCUUAGCUUAAAACUCGUCACCAUGAAUGUGUUUAGUAGAGAUCGAACUGCAAAGUUCCCCGACAAGCUCAGUAGUGGUUAACAAACUGAACCUCACCAAUUGAGUAUUAUAUUAGUGAACAUUUUUUAUUUAUUAAGACCUCAAAAGCUAUCCAAAAGUCCAGCCUAUAACUCUAUCACUUAAGAUGAAAAGCUUUAUUUCAAAGUUCGAUUUAUCCCUCACUCAAUUUUGUGCCAGCUCUGGUUUAGCUAUAUGACUUCAUAAGUAUAUCAGAUUCCGAACAUCUAGACAAAUACAUAAUAAGCAAUGCUAGAAAACAAAAUUAAAAGAGGGAUAGAUUUGAAUUGAAAAGCCAGAUCAUGGUCAAAUUAAGUAAGAAAAAGUAGUAAAUUAUAUACCUUUCCUUGUCCACCUCUAGCACUCCAACCACUAGGAGCUCCAUUAGACCUGUAAUGUGACCACUCACUCAAAGUGGCCUUGCCCAAUAUAAUAGCCCCAGCUUUCCUUAACUUGUUAACUACACCUGCAUCUCUUGGCACUACUGAGCCAAGCAGUGCAAAAGAGCCUGCAGUAGUGUUUAGCUUAUCCUUUGUUGCAAUGUUAUCCUUAACCAAAAUAGGUAUUCCAUGCAACCUUGAAAGAGAACCUGCUGCUUUUUCUCUUCUCUCCUUGUCAGCUCUAUCUGCUUGUGCUAGUGCAUCUGGAUUCACCUCCAAGACACCUUUGAGAACUGGGUUUUGGAUAUUGAUUUGUUUGAGGUAAAACUCAACAAGUUGUCUUGAUGUUAACUGCUUUCUUUGGAAAGCAAGUUGGAGAUCUUGCACAGUUGCUUCCUUGAUUGAGAUUCCACUUGCCAAGGUUGUUGAUAGCAUAGAAGAGAGUGUAACUAGUAGAAGGGUUAUAGAAAGGAAUUGAAAGAAAGAGCUAGCACAUGCUGAGGCCAUGACUCCACGAGUCUUGAAAGUUGAAACCACCAAGCAUCUAUAAUGGAGUAUAUAUAGAAUAUAUUUCUGAAUUAUAGUGGAUAUUAAAAAAAAUUAAAUACCAUUUCAUCGUGUUUCACAUGCCCUGCCCCAUGGCAUUAAAUUAUUAUACUACUUAUGAUUAUGAUCCACUCCUGGGCCUUCAAAUUCUUAACAAAAUGGAAAUAUCAAUAACUCCAUAUUCAAGAACUAGAAAAUCAAAGGCAAAAUAUUAAUUUAUCCUAAUUUUUUUUUUGACAUAGUCUUAAACAUUUGUUAUUAGACUAUUGAGCUAAGUCACUACAUUUUUAGUCAAUUUUGUAAGAACAUUUCAUAAAUUACCUGUGGGAUUUUGUGACAAAUUAGCUUGGCAUAUUAUAUUAGAUUUGACACUUCUACGCAGUUUUCCCAAUAGAUAUGGUAGUAUGCUAAUAUCUUAUUAUUACAAAAAUAUUGAGUAAUAAAAACAGUAGAAAGGUUGCAAAAUUAUUGGAUUAAAUAAUGAGUUAAUGAGGGUACAAUGUUAUUUGAUAUAAAAAUUGAAGAUCACCAUAACACAAAAGAGUAUACAAAAGAAUAUCUCACUUUUUUAUUUACCACAUAUAUCUUUCAACGAGCCAAUUCUUAGAGCAUCUAAAUGUAGGUAUCUCUUAUAACGAGAAUUAGUAAAAGACUCGUACAUUCUCACGUGUCUCUUAAAAUUGAACUUUUUUAUCCAUCAAUUAUGACAUUUGUGACAAUUUUGGUUCAACUGGUAUUAUUAGUCUAAAAAAAAGUGAUUUUUGAGGUCAAAAUUCAAUUUUUUUGGGGGGUAACAUCAUUAUUUUUGGGACCAAAAUUCAUGGUUAGAAACCAAAAUGACAACAAAUGUAAUGAUGGUUGAAUUGAAUUGAAUGAUGAUGUGAUAUCCGAUUUAUACUUCAGAGUACAAUGUUGAGUUUGUUUGUUUCUAAUUCUAUAAGUUUGUUGAAUUGAAUGAAUGAUGGUUUCAAAGUGAGUACAAUGAUGAUGAAUGAUUCUCAAUUCAAGACAGUGAUGGAGAUGUAUAGAUUCUCGUUUGUAUUCUCUUAACACUAGCUUUGCUGUUAUGUAAAUCUAUUUUUAGUUUGAAUUUGUAACAAAAUUCCUUUUCAUGAUAGUUUGGCAUGCUUAAGAUAAUGUGCAUAUCCAGCCCUAUUUUUUUGCUUUACUAUUGUCCAGAAAAUAUCAGGUUUUUCGAAAAAAUUAAGCCAACUGUUGGUAGACUAGUGAGUUAAGAUAACAUGAAUCCGCUCAACCUGAAAUUAUAACAAAUCUGUUGCAUUAUUUUCUAUCAAGAUUUCCACGAGUAAAACUUCUCACUAUACAUGUAGAAUCCUAAUUGUCCCGUGGAUUUUCAGACCAAUCAACAAUGUUGGUGAUUAUUACGGAACAUGUAAUGCAAGCUCUUAAGAUCAAUUUACUAGCGAAUGAGAAGAAGCAGUUAUAUUCAUGGGAAUUGGAGAGGGCGUUCAAUCAAACUUAUAACUUCCGAAAGGGAGGUGGCUUUCUGAUCAAAGUUGCUUGCUCAAAUGAAUAAGCAAUUUCAAUCAACUUUGGCUCUGACCCUUUCAAACCUCCAAAGAAAAUUCCAAAUGGCUGACCCUUUUCAUAUCCUGCUGGAACACUCAGUCCAGGAUAACCUCCAAUAGCAAGUAUAUGGCUAAAGGACCAAAUAGGUGUUACUACAGCAUCAAGUUUAUUUCUUUUCAUCAGUUUCUCAAACCCAUUUUGUGACCAUCUUGUCAUGUUUAAUAAUGCUUGUUUUUCUGCUUUACCAAUUCCAUUUGUCUUUUCAGCUUGCACCAUGACAUCUUGGCCAUACCCAAGUUUCUCCUACAAUGUUUGUACAACAAUUAAGAUGCUAUCGUGAUUGAUGUUAAUUAAUGAGAAAUGCUUUAUGUAACAAAUAGGCAUGGCACAAAUAGUAACAAUCAAAUGUUAUCAGCUGAUUCGUACAGUUCGUGAAGCACAUUGAUUGUAAAAAAAUAACAUAGUUCUUAUAUACAAUAUACAUACUCACCAAUUUUGGGUGUUUCUUGUUGAAGGCUAUCACAUCUGCCAAGCUUUUCACUGGUGAAGCAACUAAGUCUUUCAGGUACUUAUUCAAGGAUAAUUUGAAUUCAAAACUCAAUGCAAUUUCUUCACUUUGAUCAGUGUAAAUUUCUACAAUAUUAUCAAUCUUCAAGUUGUCAAUCAAAACUGCACCUCUUCGCCUGAUUUUGAAGAAAGUACACACACACACAGACACACACAUAUGUGACUUAUUGAAGCUUCAUUAGAAAUAUUAGUACAUGAGAAAUAAUAGUUUUAGACUUACCUUAAUGUGUUUAAGUGUAGCUUAAAAGUUUUAUUCAAUAAGGUGUCAUUUCCAACCUCGUAGUAUAAUCUUACCACUCCCAAUCUCUUUCCUCUCAAUCCAUCUUUCUUUAGAAAUUGAGCAUAGCCACCUUUUGGGAUGAACUUUGAUGCUUCAAUUGUUGCUUUAUCAAAAGUGUCGAUGCCUGCUAUGGUCUCAAGAACAUAAGCAGCAUCUGAUACAGUCCUGCAAAUUGGCCUAUACAAAACCACACAAUCAAUGUUUACACAUUUAAUAGCAAAAUGUCUUGCAGAGGAAAAUUGUGUUUAAAAAUGCAGGAGCAUGUUCACAUAAAAAAAACGUAUAGGUAUUGCCAAUUUGCCACACACGUAUAUAUACAGGCUUACCCAACUGUAUCCUGCCUUGGGCUAAUUGGAACUACACCUGCUCUACUAGUUAGGCCAACUGUUGGUUUGAUGCCUACUACUGAGUUAAAACCUGAAGGGCAUAAAAUGGAGCCAUCCGUUUCAGUACCAAGUGACACAGUUACCAUAUUUGCUGCUACUGAUAUUGCUGAUCCACUGCUUGAUCCACAGGGUUUACCCAAUGUGUAUGGAUUCUGCACAACGGAAGCACAAGUGUGAAUUCCUCAUUUUCUAGAAUCACCAUUCAUACUAAAGUUCCUAUGGGAAGGCAUAAUGAAACCAUUCCUUUAGGCCUUCAAAAAUAUUUUCUUGCUUUUUUUUGGUUGGAGGCCAUGUAAUUAGGACCUUUGGCACCCCAAAAGCUACACAUAAUAUGCACUGAUAAUGAGACUAAUCUCUGCAUAGGUGUUUUAGAUCUUAGCUUAAAACUCUUCACCAUGGAUGUGUUUUGUGGGGAUCGAACUGAGGCCUACCCCCACAAGCUCAGCUACAGUUAAUAAACUGAACCACACCCAUUAAGUAUUACUAUUAGUGACUAUUUUUUAUUUUCAGUUUUAUAAGGCCUCAUAAACUAUCAAAAAUCCAACCUAUACUCCAUCACUUAACUAACAUAAAAAGUUUUAUUUAAAAGUUUGGCCAUAUGACUUCAUAAGAAUAUCAGAUUCUUAACAGAUAGGCAAAUACAUGAUAAGCAAUGCUACAAAACAAAAUUUAAAGUUAUAGGUUUGGAUUGCAAAGCAAGACCAUAGUCAAAUAAAGUAAGAAGAAGUAGUAAGUUUAUAUACCUUUCCAUGUCCACCUCUGGCACUCCAAGCACUAGGAGCUCCAUUAGACCUGUAAUAUGACCACUCACUCAGGGUGGCCUUCCCCAAUAUAAUAGCCCCAGCUUUCCUUAACUUGUUAACAACACCCGCGUCUCUUGGCACCAGUGAGCCAAGCAAUGCAAAAGAGCCAGCAGUAGUGUUCAAUUUAUCCUUAGUUGCAAUGUUAUCCUUAACCAAAAUAGGUAUUCCAUGCAACCUUGAAAGAGAACCUACUGCUUUAGUCCUUCUUUCUUGGUCAGCUCUAUCUGCUUGUGCUAGUGCAUCUGGAUUCACCUCCAACACCCCUUUGAGAACCGGGUUUUGGAUUUUGAUUUGUUUGAGGUAAAACUCAACAAGUUGUCUUGAUGUUAACUGCUUUCUUUGGAAGGCAAGCUGGAGAUCUUGCACAGUUGCUUCCUUGAUUGAGAAUCCACUAGCCAAGGUUGUUGUUGAUAGCAUAGAAGGGAGUGUAACUAGAAGAACGAUC
rnacentral:lncRNA from 1 species